rnacentral:misc_RNA from 1 species
GAAAUGCGAUACGCAGUGCGAAUUGCAGAACGCGAGUCAUCAGAUCUUUGAACGCAAGUGGCGCCGGUUAGCAGCCGGCAUGUGGUGCUCAGUGUGUACGGAAAUCACACAGGUGAAUGUGGUUGAAGCGCGCCAAGUGCUUCUCCCAUUAAACGAGUGGACAAUUGUGGCUGCAUACCGAGCGUAUGCGGCGAGUGAGCUGCGCUAACGCACGCACACACAAUAUUUCCUCUCCGGAAGUAGUCACUAACUCCAUAGUGAUCUACGGAGACGCGGAAUAGUGCGCUGCGGCAACUCAACAAACAUGCGGGGGCGCGCAACACAAACACGCCAACCCCCUCCUCCUCACUCUACACCUGAGCUCCGCAAGAUCACCCGCUGAACUUAA